rnacentral:lncRNA from 1 species
GGUAAACCCAGGAAGAUGGCUGAAGACUAUGCUGAUUCAAGCCAAAGCAAGGAAUCAGCUUCUGCUGAUCCUGCUUUUUGGAAUUAAGAAUUCCCAAACAGGUUGCUUCCAAGACGGCUGAAUAGGAACAGCUCCAGUCUACAACUCCCAGUGAGAUCGAUGCAGAAGGAUGGGCCGCAAAGGAGAUUCUUCCAAGAUUUCAGAAGUUGGAAGGGAAGCAGAAUCCAUUUGAUAACACAAACACAUUGUUGCUUAUCUGUUGACUCAACUUGGGAUGAAGAAGCAGUUGAGCCAGUUGUGUGUGUAGAGCUCAAGGACAAAGGUCCUUAGCUUCUGCAGAAUACUAUCAUCACCAAGCUCACAGGCUUCUAGAGCAGACAUGUGCUUCAGUCCAUUCUGUGGGCUUCCAGCUUCUACUCUUGGAGUUCCAUCCUUUUUUAUGAUAUUACCUUUCUAACUGCAUAUGCUGUGGACUUCAAGCACUUGAAUCAGAUGUAGAGACAUUAUAUGGACUGCUUGAGUAGCCCCCACAACUGU